CCAAUAGCGUAUAUUAAAGUUGUUGCAGUUAAAAAGCUCGUAGUUGAAUUUCGGGGUCAGUAGGUUGGUCGUGCCACCGGUACGUACUGGUCUCACUGAUUCCUCCUUCCUGAUGAACCGUAAUGCCAUUAAUUUGGUGUUGCGGGGAAUUUGGACUGUUACUUUGAAAAAAUUAGAGUGUUUAAAGCAAGCUAACGCUUGAAUACAUUAGCAUGGAAUAAUGAAAUAGGACGUUCGAUCCUAUUUUGUUGGUUUCUAGGAUUGACGUAAUGAUUAAUAGGGAUAGUUGGGGGCAUUAGUAUUCAAUUGUCAGAGGUGAAAUUCUUGGAUUUAUUGAAGACUAACUACUGCGAAAGCAUUUGCCAAGGAUGUUUUCAUUAAUCAAGAACGAAAGUUAGGGGAUCGAAGACGAUCAGAUACCGUCGUAGUCUUAACCAUAAACUAUGCCGACUAGGGAUCGGAUGAUGUUAAUUUUUUAAUGACUCAUUCGGCGCCUUACG
rnacentral:rRNA from 1 species